AGUGAACGCUGGCGGUAGGCCUAACACAUGCAAGUCGAACGGCAGCACAGUAAGAGCUUGCUCUUACGGGUGGCGAGUGGCGGACGGGUGAGGAAUACAUCGGAAUCUACUUUUUCGUGGGGGAUAACGUAGGGACACUUACGCUAAUACCGCAUACGACCUACGGGUGAAAGCAGGGGAUCUUCGGACCUUGCGCGAUUGAAUGACCCGAUGUCGGAUUAGCUAGUUGGCGGGGUAAAGGCCCACCAAGGCGACGAUCCGUAGCUGGUCUGAGAGGAUGAUCAGCCACACUGGAACUGAGACACGGUCCAGACUCCUACGGGAGGCAGCAGUGGGGAAUAUUGGACAAUGGGCGCAAGCCUGAUCCAGCCAUACCGCGUGGGUGAAGAAGGCCUUCGGGUUGUAAAGCCCUUUUGUUGGGAAAGAAAAGCAGCAGGUUAAUACCCCGCUGUUCUGACGGUACCCAAAGAAUAAGCACCGGCUAACUUCGUG
rnacentral:rRNA from 1 species